rnacentral:rRNA from 1 species
AGUGAACGCUGGCGGUAGGCCUAACACAUGCAAGUCGAACGGCAGCACAGUAAGAGCUUGCUCUUACGGGUGGCGAGUGGCGGACGGGUGAGGAAUACAUCGGAAUCUACUUUUUCGUGGGGGAUAACGUAGGGAAACUUACGCUAAUACCGCAUACGACCUACGGGUGAAAGCAGGGGAUCUUCGGACCUUUCGCGAUUGAAUGAGCCGAUGUCGGAUUAGCUAGUUGGCGGGGUAAAGGCCCACCAAGGCGACGAUCCGUAGCUGGUCUGAGAGGAUGAUCAGACACACUGGAACUGAGACACGGUCCAGACUCCUACGGGAGGCAGCAGUGGGGAAUAUUGGACAAUGGGCGCGAGCCUGAUCCAGCCAUACCGCGUGAGUGAAGAAGGCCUUCGGGUUGUAAAGCCCUUUUGUUGGGAAAGAAAAGCAGCAGGUUAAUACCUCGCUGUUCUGACGGUACCAAAAGAAUAAGCACCGGCUAACUUCGUG